CUUAGCUCAGUUGGAUAGAGCAACGGCCUUCUAAGCCGUAGGUCAAAGGUUCGAAUCCUUUAG
rnacentral:tRNA from 1 species